rnacentral:rRNA from 1 species
UACGUAGGGGGCAAGCGUUGUCCGGAAUUAUUGGGCGUAAAGAGCGUGUAGGCGGUCCGAUAAGUCGGCUGUGAAAGUCCAGGGCUCAACUCUGGAAUGCCGGCCGAUACUGUCGGACUAGAGUCCGGAAGAGGUGAGUGGAAUUCCCGGUGUAGCGGUGAAAUGCGCAGAUAUCGGGAGGAACACCAAUGGCGAAGGCAGCUCACUGGGACGGCACUGACGCUGAGACGACGAAAGCGUGGGGAGCAAACAGG